CCCUUGGGGAGUAGCCUGCUUGCAACCUGCAAGCGCCUGCGUCAACACACUCGGCAUCCUGCAUGCUGUGGUGCAGGCAUCCGUUCUUCGGUUGGCGAGACCAUCGGCAUUUCACCGCGACACAGGUCACAAGGUCGGGCGGCGGUGAAGUGCCGUUGUGCGCUUGCCCGGCCG
rnacentral:sRNA from 2 species